UGACGGCGUACCUUUUGUAUAAUGGGUCAACGACUUAGUGUGACAAGCGAGCUUAAGCCGGUAGGUGUAGGCGUAGCGAAAGCGAGUCUGAAUAGGGCGUUUAGUUUGUUGCAUUAGACCCGAAACCGAGUGAUCUAGCCAUGAGCAGGUUGAAGGUUGGGUAACACCAAUUGGAGGACCGAACCCGUAUCUGUUGCAAUAGAUUGGGAUGACUUGUGGCUAGGGGUGAAAGGCCAAUCAAACUCGGAGAUAGCUGGUUCUCCGCGAAAUCUAUUUAGGUAGAGCGUUAACUGAAUACCCUCGGGGGUAGAGCACUGGAUAGGCUAUGGGGGCUUACCGCCUUACUGCUCCUAACCAAACUCCGGAUACCGAGGAGUACUAGUUGGCAGACACACAGUGGGUGCUAACGUCCAUUGUGGAGAGGGCAACAACCCUGACCUCCAUCUAAGGUCCCGAAGUCAUGGCUAAGUGGGAAAGGAUGUGAAGAUCCCAAAACAACCAGGAUGUUGGCUUAGAAGCAGCCAUCAUUUAAAGAAAGCGUAACAGCUCACUGGUCUAGAUAAGGAUUUUUGCGCCGAAAAUGUAACGGGGCUAAAGCCAUGCACCGAAGAUGAGGAUUUGUUUAUUUUUAAACGAGUGGUAGCGGAGCGUUCCGUAAGCUGAUGAAGGAGGACUUGUGAGA
rnacentral:rRNA from 1 species